rnacentral:rRNA from 1 species
UAGAAGCCGAUGAAGGACGUUACUAACGACGAUAUGCUUUGGGGAGCUGUAAGUAAGCUUUGAUCCAGAGAUUUCCGAAUGGGGAAACCCAGCAUGAGUUAUGUCAUGUUAUCGAUAUGUGAAUACAUAGCAUAUCAGAAGGCACACCCGGAGAACUGAAACAUCUUAGUACCCGGAGGAAGAGAAAGAAAAUUCGAUUCCCUUAGUAGCGGCGAGCGAAACGGGAAGAGCCCAAACCAACAAGCUUGCUUGUUGGGGUUGUAGGACACUCUAUACGGAGUUACAAAGGACGACAUUAGACGAAUCAUCUGGAAAGAUGAAUCAAAGAAGGUAAUAAUCCUGUAGUCGAAAAUGUUGUCUCUCUUGAGUGGAUCCUGAGUACGACGGAGCACGUGAAAUUCCGUCGGAAUCUGGGAGGACCAUCUCCUAAGGCUAAAUACUCUCUAGUGACCGAUAGUGAACCAGUACCGUGAGGGAAAGGUGAAAAGCACCCCGGAAGGGGAGUGAAAUAGAACCUGAAACCGUGUGCUUACAAGUAGUCAGAGCCCGUUAAUGGGUGAUGGCGUGCCUUUUGUAGAAUGAACCGGCGAGUUACGAUUUGAUGCAAGGUUAAGCAGUAAAUGUGGAGCCGUAGCGAAAGCGAGUCUGAAUAGGGCGUUUAGUAUUUGGUCGUAGACCCGAAACCAGGUGAUCUACCCUUGGUCAGGUUGAAGUUCAGGUAACACUGAAUGGAGGACCGAACCGACUUACGUUGAAAAGUGAGCGGAUGAACUGAGGGUAGCGGAGAAAUUCCAAUCGAACCUGGAGAUAGCUGGUUCUCUCCGAAAUAGCUUUAGGGCUAGCCUCAAGUGAUGAUUAUUGGAGGUAGAGCACUGUUUGGACGAGGGGCCCCUCUCGGGUUACCGAAUUCAGACAAACUCCGAAUGCCAAUUAAUUUAACUUGGGAGUCAGAACAUGGGUGAUAAGGUCCGUGUUCGAAAGGGAAACAGCCCAGACCACCAGCUAAGGUCCCAAAAUAUAUGUUAAGUGGAAAAGGAUGUGGCGUUGCCCAGACAACUAGGAUGUUGGCUUAGAAGCAGCCAUCAUUUAAAGAGUGCGUAAUAGCUCACUAGUCGAGUGACACUGCGCCGAAAAUGUACCGGGGCUAAACAUAUUACCGAAGCUGUGGAUUGUCCUUUGGACAAUGGUAGGAGAGCGUUCUAAGGGCGUUGAAGCAUGAUCGUAAGGACAUGUGGAGCGCUUAGAAGUGAGAAUGCCGGUGUGAGUAGCGAAAGACGGGUGAGAAUCCCGUCCACCGAUUGACUAAGGUUUCCAGAGGAAGGCUCGUCCGCUCUGGGUUAGUCGGGUCCUAAGCUGAGGCCGACAGGCGUAGGCGAUGGAUAACAGGUUGAUAUUCCUGUACCACCUAUAAUCGUUUUAAUCGAUGGGGGGACGCAGUAGGAUAGGCGAAGCGUGCGAUUGGAUUGCACGUCUAAGCAGUAAGGCUGAGUAUUAGGCAAAUCCGGUACUCGUUAAGGCUGAGCUGUGAUGGGGAGAAGACAUUGUGUCUUCGAGUCGUUGAUUUCACACUGCCGAGAAAAGCCUCUAGAUAGAAAAUAGGUGCCCGUACCGCAAACCGACACAGGUAGUCAAGAUGAGAAUUCUAAGGUGAGCGAGCGAACUCUCGUUAAGGAACUCGGCAAAAUGACCCCGUAACUUCGGGAGAAGGGGUGCUCUUUAGGGUUAACGCCCAGAAGAGCCGCAGUGAAUAGGCCCAAGCGACUGUUUAUCAAAAACACAGGUCUCUGCUAAACCGUAAGGUGAUGUAUAGGGGCUGACGCCUGCCCGGUGCUGGAAGGUUAAGAGGAGUGGUUAGCUUCUGCGAAGCUACGAAUCGAAGCCCCAGUAAACGGCGGCCGUAACUAUAACGGUCCUAAGGUAGCGAAAUUCCUUGUCGGGUAAGUUCCGACCCGCACGAAAGGCGUAACGAUUUGGGCACUGUCUCAACGAGAGACUCGGUGAAAUCAUAGUACCUGUGAAGAUGCAGGUUACCCGCGACAGGACGGAAAGACCCCGUGGAGCUUUACUGUAGCCUGAUAUUGAAAUUCGGCACAGCUUGUACAGGAUAGGUAGGAGCCUUUGAAACGUGAGCGCUAGCUUACGUGGAGGCGCUGGUGGGAUACUACCCUAGCUGUGUUGGCUUUCUAACCCGCACCACUUAUCGUGGUGGGAGACAGUGUCAGGCGGGCAGUUUGACUGGGGCGGUCGCCUCCUAAAAGGUAACGGAGGCGCUCAAAGGUUCCCUCAGAAUGGUUGGAAAUCAUUCAUAGAGUGUAAAGGCAUAAGGGAGCUUGACUGCGAGACCUACAAGUCGAGCAGGGUCGAAAGACGGACUUAGUGAUCCGGUGGUUCCGCAUGGAAGGGCCAUCGCUCAACGGAUAAAAGCUACCCCGGGGAUAACAGGCUUAUCUCCCCCAAGAGUUCACAUCGACGGGGAGGUUUGGCACCUCGAUGUCGGCUCAUCGCAUCCUGGGGCUGUAGUCGGUCCCAAGGGUUGGGCUGUUCGCCCAUUAAAGCGGUACGCGAGCUGGGUUCAGAACGUCGUGAGACAGUUCGGUCCCUAUCCGUCGUGGGCGUAGGAAAUUUGAGAGGAGCUGUCCUUAGUACGAGAGGACCGGGAUGGACAUACCUCUGGUGUACCAGUUGUCGUGCCAACGGCAUAGCUGGGUAGCUAUGUGUGGACGGGAUAAGUGCUGAAAGCAUCUAAGCAUGAAGCCCCCCUCAAGAUGAGAUUUCCCAACUUCGGUUAUAAGAUCCCUCAAAGAUGAUGAGGUUAAUAGGUUCGAGGUGGAAGCAUGGUGACAUGUGGAGCUGACGAAUACUAA